GAUGAACGCUGGCGGCGUGCCUAACACAUGCAAGUCGAGCGAAGCGAUCGAGAUGAAGUUUUCGGAUGGAUUCCUGAUCGACUGAGCGGCGGACGGGUGAGUAACGCGUGGGUAACCUGCCUCAUACAGGGGGAUAACAGUUAGAAAUGACUGCUAAUACCGCAUAAGCGCACAGUACCACAUGGUACGGUGUGAAAAACUCCGGUGGUAUGAGAUGGACCCGCGUCUGAUUAGCUAGUUGGUGGGGUAACGGCCCACCAAGGCGACGAUCAGUAGCCGACCUGAGAGGGUGAUCGGCCACAUUGGGACUGAGACACGGCCCAAACUCCUACGGGAGGCAGCAGUGGGGAAUAUUGCACAAUGGGGGGAACCCUGAUGCAGCAACGCCGCGUGAGUGAAGAAGUAUUUCGGUAUGUAAAGCUCUAUCAGCAGGGAAGAAAAUGACGGUACCUGACUAAGAAGCCCCGGCUAACUACGUGCCAGCAGCCGCGGUAAUACGUAGGGGGCAAGCGUUAUCCGGAUUUACUGGGUGUAAAGGGAGCGUAGACGGCAGCGCAAGUCUGAAGUGAAAGCCCGGGGCUCAACCCCGGAAUGGCUUUGGAAACUGCGCGGCUAGAGUACCGGAGGGGUAAGCGGAAUUCCUAGUGUAGCGGUGAAAUGCGUAGAUAUUAGGAGGAACACCAGUGGCGAAGGCGGCUUACUGGACGGUAACUGACGUUGAGGCUCGAAAGCGUGGGGAGCAAACAGGAUUAGAUACCCUGGUAGUCCAGCGCGGUAAACGAUGAAUGCUAGGUGUUGGUGAGCAAAGCUCAUGCGGUGCCGCCGC
rnacentral:rRNA from 1 species